GAUGAAGAACGCAGCGAAAUGCGAUAAGUAAUGUGAAUUGCAGAAUUCAGUGAAUCAUCGAGUCUUUGAACGCACAUUGCGCCCCCUGGUAUUCCGGGGGGCAUGCCUGUCCGAGCGUCACUGCCGCCCUCAAGCACGGCUUGUGUGUUGGGCCCCCGCCCCCCGGCUUCGGGGGGCGGGCCCGAAAGGCAGCGGCGGCACCGCGUCCGGUCCUCGAGCGUAUGGGGCUUCGUCACCCGCUCUGUAGGCCCGGCCGGCGCCCGCCGGCGACCCCAAUCAAUCUUUCCAGGUUGACCUCGGAUCAGGUAGGGAUACCCGCUGAACUUAAGCAUAUCAAUAAGCGGAGGA
rnacentral:misc_RNA from 1 species